rnacentral:tRNA from 1 species
GGAGGCAUCGCAUAGUGGCCGAUUGCAACGGGUUGCUAACCCGUACCAGGUUUCUGGUUCGUGGGUUCAAAUCCCACUGCCUCCGC